CGGGGCUUUCUGACUGGGGCUGAGACCAGGGCGGUGCUUACGGACUCAGAGGCCCGGAGACCAGCGGUCCUGCGCCGGUGGCCGUGGCCGCUCCCUCUCCCGGAGUAGGAAAAAGCAGUUUCUGGUUCCUCCUGACCCUUGGCCCGCCCUGGAUUGGAAGCCCAUGAGAGGGUUGAACACUCCUACCUCUGGAAUGGACACUGAGGGAAGGCCACAUUAAGGAUGCGGGGAGAAGAUGGCCAUCUGCAAGCUAAGGAGAGAGGCCUCAGAGUGAAGCCGACCUUGACCCUGGACUUCCUGCCUGCAGGACUGAGGAACUAUGAGGCAAGUGGGAUCUUAGUUCCACAACCGGGGAUCAAACCUGUGCCCGCUGCACUGGAAGCACAGAAUCUCAACCACUGGACCACCAGAUAAUCCACGACUGCCUGCCCAUCUCCAGAUCCUCAACUUAAUCCCAUCUGCAGAGUCCCUUCUGCUAGGUAAGGGGACAUCUUCACAGGUUCCCAGAGACCACUGUUAUUCUGCCCAUCACAGCAAGACAAGCCUACUUUUUCUGAAAAGGGCCCCGCAAUAAAUCUUUUAGGCUUUGUGGGCCAUCUGGUCUCUGUUGCUAAGACUGCACAAUUUUCAGAGCUCAAUGCAAGAUAAAAAUAUGGGACUCCUUCAUUCACAAGAUUAAGAAUUUCAGACCAGUGACGGCAGAAGUACAGGCCCCCGCCAUCUGAGCAAGUCUGCGUCUGCUCCUGCAACCUGAAAGCGGCCGUGGGCCACACACAGAUGACGGGAGUGGGCGUGGGACCAGUAAACGUGAUGGACGCUGAAGGUGCACUUUCCCAUGUCACAAAAUGCUAUUCUUUUGGGGUUUUUUUCCAAUCAUUUAGAAAUGUAAACGCUGUAAAUGUAAAUGCUCCCAUGCUUCCAAUGCAGGGGACACGGGUUCCCUGACUGGAGAACUAAGAUCCCAUGUGCCCUGUGGUGCAGUCAAAAAAUUAAAUAAGAUAAAUAAAAUAAAAAUGUAAACAUCAUUUGUAGCUCACAGGCUGUGUAAAAAAAAAGGUGUGGGUGGAAUCAGGCUGCAGUCAGCUAGCUUCUCGUCCGCAGGAUGAAAUCCCAACUUCUCUGCCUGACUCUCUAGAGUCCUUGACAGCCAGAGACAGACACCCUGCCAGUCCCGUCUUAUCGUCUUCUUUCCUUGAGACACCUACUGCUCUGUGAACCCUCCUCACAGGCAAAGCUGCACCUGUGCUCUGGCUGGUCCAUGUGUGAAAGCCCCAUCUCCCCCUCCUGUGGCUGGCAGACCCUGGCUCCUGCUGCCCUCCAGCCCAGUGCUGCCCUCAUGAAAGGUGGUGCUCUGGACCUGGCCCUUGUCACACUGCCUGGGCUUGGUGUCUGCAUGUCCUCUUCUUUCUUGCAGCAGCAAGGUCCUUUCGAGCAGGAACCCAAACGGAGUCAUCCUGAUCACGUGGACCCUGAGAGCAUGUGCUUCGAGGCACAAUAAGAACAAUCAGGAAUUUUAGUGGCUGGAGUGUAGUCUAACCC
ensembl:lncRNA